CUGACCGUAAACGAUGCCAACUAGCGAUCCGCCGGUGGCUACAAGGCCCUGGUGGGGAGCUUCCCGGAAACGAAAGUCUUCCGGUUCCGGGGGAAGUAUGGUUGCAAAGCUGAAACUUAAAGGAAUUGACGGAAGGGCACCACCAGGAGUGGAGCCUGCGGCUUAAUUUGACUCAACACGGGAAAACUCACCCGGCCCGGACACCGUAAGGAUUGACAGAUUGAUAGCUUUUUCAUGAUUCGGUGGUUGGUGGUGCAUGGCCGUUCUUAGUUCGUGGAUCGAUUUGUCUGGUUUAUUCCGAUAACGAGCGAGACUCCAGCCUACUAACUAGUGCGAGCAUUGCCACUGUGCUUUUGCACUUCUUAGAGGGAUUGGCUGCGUCUAGCGGCACGAAACGGAGCAAUAACAGGUCUGUGAUGCCCUUAGAUGUCCGGGGCUGCACGCGCGCUACACUGGCAAAGGCAGCGUGCUUGUCCGUCUCCGAAAGGAGUCGGUAAACCCUUGAAAAUUUGCCGUGAUUGGGAUCGGAAAUUGCAAUUAUUCCGUGACGAGAUCCUAGUAAGUGCGAGUCAUCAGCUCGCGUUG
rnacentral:rRNA from 1 species